UCCCUGAUUUAGCGGCGGACGGGUGAGUAAUGCCUAGGAAUCUGCCUGGUAGUGGGGGAUAACGUUCCGAAAGGAACGCUAAUACCGCAUACGUCCUACGGGAGAAAGCAGGGGACCUUCGGGCCUUGCGCUAUCAGAUGAGCCUAGGUCGGAUUAGCUAGUUGGUGAGGUAAUGGCUCACCAAGGCGACGAUCCGUAACUGGUCUGAGAGGAUGAUCAGUCACACUGGAACUGAGACAUGGUCCAGACUCCUACGGGAGGCAGCAGUGGGGAAUAUUGGACAAUGGGCGAAAGCCUGAUCCAGCCAUGCCGCGUGUGUGAAGAAGGUCUUCGGAUUGUAAAGCACUUUAAGUUGGGAGGAAGGGCAUUAACCUAAUACGUUAGUGUUUUGACGUUACCGACAG
rnacentral:rRNA from 1 species